GUUAAUUAGCCCAGUUUCUUAAGUGAACACCCCCUCAACCGGAAAUGUACGGAUGUGAAGGACAUGGAUCAAUUUCAGCAUUUAUUUGGGAGGAGUGGGGGCGGCAAGGGAAUCUGUUUUUUUUUUUUUUUUUUUUUUUUCACAGCCUCUGUGACAGUGGGGUCAGAGCUCCACCCAUUGGGGUCCAAACGAGCACCGACAAGUGUGGGUGGAGUCUUUGACAAGAGCUUGUGCCGCACCUCUCUCAGCUGACGCACAUAAUAUGUUUGUGUGGGACAAGUCCACCAAGACCCAUCCAUCAAGCGUGUUCAAAUACGCCCUGCGCCACUGUUGACACAAGGUUAACAACUUGACACUGACAGAGGCUUUGUGGAAAAAGUCCAAGCUUCACGGGCAGUUUUGACCAUGCCAGGAAAGCUCUGAUGGAGGCCAGGGGAGCUGCAGGAGGUGCGGCAGGCGAAGACGUGCAGCUGGAGGUUAAUAUGAAAGAUGCUUUGACUGCCAUGACAAGCUAAAUAGAGGGAGCGGAACCAUUGUCUUCCAAAUCAGCUGUCAGCGUGUUUCCACUGUCAGCACUUUGGCUCACUACCUGCCUGGUUAAUCAUCGAGCCUCUCUUGAGCUGCGAGCUGCUGGAGGUGCAGGGCCCACCGUAACGGACCCGCGUCAGCGCCGCGACGGGACAACAUGUGAUUGACAGAUUAGCAGGUGCUGGCGCUUUUCACAAAGAAAGAUGGGGAAAAAGGGUGGAGCGUGCUGAUUGGAAUUGAAGGAGACUCAAUGAGGUGGUGUGCAAAGGGUGUGCGUCGACUGGUUGUGGAGGAAUGGAGGUCAACAGGUCUUCUCCAAGCAAAUGAAAACAUGAAAGGCGUGAUGCCGGUUUGAGAAGUUUCGUGAUCAGCAGAAAUCUGCACAACUCAGGCAGAAAAUGUAUGUCUGUUUAUUGUGUGGUUCGGGUUGCAAACCAUAUUGGAGUGUGAAUAAAUGAAUGAGAAGAGCAUAAAUAAAACAGGCCAAUUUAAUGUAAAUUCAGAAGAAUUCCUCCACUGUAUUGUAGAGGGCUCAACCCCAU